UGUUUAAAAACCAGGCGAAAAUAGGCUUUUGGUUCAAAUGUUGUUUGAAAAGUGAACGGUUGAGCUUUUUUUUGCAUUUAGGUCUUGUCAGGCUCUAAUAACUCCCUAUAAUGCGCCACCACUGACACGGAACAACGGCAUACAGGCCGCCGGGUCAGAAAGGCUUCAUUAAGAAGUCUGUGAGGAAAGCGAAAAUAAAGGCUUGACUCAAAAAGAGGAAAGCGUAAUAUACGCCACCUCGCGACGGUGAGCUGAAAGCCGCGUCGCACCUGCUCUUUAACAAUUUAUCAGACAAUCUGUGUGGGCACUCGAAGAUACGGAUUCUUAACGUCCUCGGACGAAAAAUGAAUACCAAGUCUCAAGAGUGAACACGUAAUUCAUUACGAAGUUUAAUUCUUUGAGCAUCAAACUUUNGGGAACCUGCGGUUGGAUCACCUCCUUACCUUAAAGAAGCGUACUUUGCAGUGCUCACACAGAUUGUCUGAUGAAAAGUGAAUAGCAAGGCGUUUACGCGUUGGGAGUGAGGCUGAAAAAAUAAGGCCGUUCGCUUUCUAUUAAUGAAAGCUCACCCUACACGAAAAUAUCACGCAGCGCGUGAUAAGCAAUUUUCGUGUCCCCUUCGUCUAGAGGCCCAGGACACCGCCCUUUCACGGCGGUAACAGGGGUUCGAAUCCCCUAGGGGACGCCAUUCAUGACUGGGGUGAAGUCGUAACAAGGUAACCGUAGGGGAACCUGCGGUUGGAUCACCUCCUUACCUUAAAGAACUGUUCUUUGCAGUGCUCACACAGAUUGUCUGAUGAAAAGUGAAUAGCAAGGCGUCUUGCGAUUGAGACUUCAGUGUCCCCUUCGUCUAGAGGCCCAGGACACCGCCCUUUCACGGCGGNCUUUGUGAUUCAUGACUGGGGUGAAGUCGUAACAAGGUAACCGUAGGGGAACCUGCGGUUGGAUCACCUCCUUACCUGAAAGAAGCGUACUUUGCAGUGCUCACACAGAUUGUCUGAUGAAAAGUAAAUAGCAAGGCGUCUUGCGAUUGAGACUUCAGUGUCCCCUUCGUCUAGAGGCCCAGGACACCGCCCUUUCACGGCGGUAACAGGGGUUCGAAUCCCCUAGGGGACGCCACUUGCUGGUUUGUGAGUGAAAGUCACCUGCCUUAAUAUCUCAAAACUGACUUACGAGUCACGUUUGAGAUAUUUGCUCUUUAAAAAUCUGGAUCAAGCUGAAAAUUGAAACACAGAACAACGAAAGUUGUUCGUGAGUCUCUCAAAUUGUAAUAGCUCACUGGUCGAGUCGGCCUGCGCGGAAGAUGUAACGGGGCUAAACCAUGCACCGAAGCUGCGGCAGCGACACUCAGGUGUUGUUGGGUAGGGGAGCGUUCUGUAAGCCUGCGAAGGUGGCCUGUGAGGGUUGCUGGAGGUAUCAGAAGUGCGAAUGCUNGGAGCUGAAGUCAGUCGAAGAUACCAGCUGGCUGCAACUGUUUAUUAAAAACACAGCACUGUGCAAACACGAAAGUGGACGUAUACGGUGUGACGCCUGCCCGGUGCCGGAAGGUUAAUUGAUGGGGUCAGCGCAAGCGAAGCUCCUGAUCGAAGCCCCGGUAAACGGCGGCCGUAACUAUAACGGUCCUAAGGUAGCGAAAUUCCUUGUCGGGUAAGUUCCGACCUGCACGAAUGGCGUAAUGAUGGCCAGGCUGUCUCCACCCGAGACUCAGUGAAAUUGAACUCGCUGUGAAGAUGCAGUGUACCCGCGGCAAGACGGAAAGACCCCGUGAACCUUUACUAUAGCUUGACACUGAACAUUGAGCCUUGAUGUGUAGGAUAGGUGGGAGGCUUUGAAGUGUGGACGCCAGUCUGCAUGGAGCCGACCUUGAAAUACCACCCUUUAAUGUUUGAUGUUCUAACGUGGACCCGUAAUCCGGGUUGCGGACAGUGUCUGGUGGGUAGUUUGACUGGGGCGGUCUCCUCCUAAAGAGUAACGGAGGAGCACGAAGGUUGGCUAAUCCUGGUCGGACAUCAGGAGGUUAGUGCAAUGGCAUAAGCCAGCUUGACUGCGAGCGUGACGGCGCGAGCAGGUGCGAAAGCAGGUCAUAGUGAUCCGGUGGUUCUGAAUGGAAGGGCCAUCGCUCAACGGAUAAAAGGUACUCCGGGGAUAACAGGCUGAUACCGCCCAAGAGUUCAUAUCGACGGCGGUGUUUGGCACCUCGAUGUCGGCUCAUCACAUCCUGGGGCUGAAGUAGGUCCCAAGGGUAUGGCUGUUCGCCAUUUAAAGUGGUACGCGAGCUGGGUUUAGAACGUCGUGAGACAGUUCGGUCCCUAUCUGCCGUGGGCGCUGGAGAACUGAGGGGGGCUGCUCCUAGUACGAGAGGACCGGAGUGGACGCAUCACUGGUGUUCGGGUUGUCAUGCCAAUGGCACUGCCCGGUAGCUAAAUGCGGAAGAGAUAAGUGCUGAAAGCAUCUAAGCACGAAACUUGCCCCGAGAUGAGUUCUCCCUGAGACUUAGAGUCUCCUGAAGGAACGUUGAAGACGACGACGUUGAUAGGCCGGGUGUGUAAGCGCAGCGAUGCGUUGAGCUAACCGGUACUAAUGAACCGUGAGGCUUAACC
rnacentral:rRNA from 1 species